CCCGUCUUUAUCAAUGCGUGACACUUUGCUUUGAACAAAAUGUCAACAUUUCGUUUCGCAUUAAUUCUUUCGUCUACCUAUACCUGUUAUAUUUAAGUAUUGUUAAUUUUUUUCGUUUUCUUUAAAUUAAUAAUAACUGUUGUUUUGUUAUAGUCUCGCAUGUAUUGUUGUGUAUAUCGUUUGUAUUUUAUAACACGUCACAACGUUAUCCACCAUGGAUUUACAAACACGAAUGAAAAUUUUUUGACAUAAAAGUAGGUAUACCUAGGAACCUAACCUAAGUAGUUGAGUAAAUAUUUUAUGCGUCUGCUGUUGUACUGUCGUUAUGUGUUCAAUGAUACCAAAAUUCAAUUUACUGGACAGUGUCUGGGGAUUAAAAUACCUUUAAAGGCACACCUACUUAAAGUUACCUCAAUCGUGAAUAUUGAAGAUUUGUAAGCUUUAUACCUACCUAUCUAUAUG